UAGUGACACAGAGAUUGGAGUGGCAAAUCCCUUUCCCCCAUUAUGAUUCUGCCUUGGGUCAUAUUUCUUCAUUUGUACAAGCUGCUGUGUUGCUUCCAGGCUGUUGAGAUCCUGAAGACAGCUCGUGAAAUCAGCAUGCGUGUCCGCUUCUUUCCCUACAAUUAUCAUCGCCAAAAGGAGCGGACUGUGCACUAGAGACUUGCAGCCCACAGCCCUUCAUGUGGACUCUGCCACGACUGCUAACUAGACUUCAGGGGAGCUACUUAUACUUUCAGCACUUCCUGUAAUAGUGAAGUUGAUAGGAUGGGGAGACAGCUAACCAACUGCAUUACCCAAACUGUAUUGCACUUUUGGUUCCCUAGUUUUCUAGGUGAGCUUCAUUCCCUGAAAGGAGAAGGAUGAUGAUAUCUAGGCAUAACCUAGCCUGUGAGGAAUGUAGUUAGGAAAGACAACUGACAUUUAUUGAAUACCAUGUACUAGUUCCUUACACAUGUCAUAUUUUAAUUAUGAAAAUCAGUAGCAAAAAGAAUCUUGGGGAUUUCCCAUCUGACUUGCCUGGCCAUCGCAUCCCAUCCUUGUACUACCAGAGGUUUCAUACACUUUGGAGACUCCAAUGAGACCGUUUUCACUUAUUCCUCCUCUUAGCCUCUCCCCUCAAAAGUAAAACACAGUGCUGAAGAAA